AUGUCGCGCUCGGAGGAAAAAAGUUAAGCGAGGUAGAUGGACAUUAUAAUGAUAGCAGAAAGCCAAAAGGAUUUGACACAAAACAGAUCUUUGUCUCACCAAGUGUCCGAUACUCUGGACACAACUGCUAUGCAAAACCCAAAAGUUUUCAAGACCCCUCAACAAACAAGACUUUCAGCUCAAAAGCAGUUCUGCAGCUUUGUAUCAACCCAGAGAGCUAUCAAGUUGGGCCUCAGACAAUCGGCGCUACAUCUGAGAUCGACCCGAAGUUUAGCAAUCAGGAAAUUGAAUGGUCCACUAAGGAACGUGGAUCCAUAAUUCUUUACGGGCUUCUAGUUAAACUUGAUGAAGCCAAUUGAACAUCUUUAUUGAAGGCAGUCCGUCAGGAUUAACAAAACGGCUGCCAAAUCAUGCCAUGUCAUUAGGACAGGUUGUGUUGUAAUAUUUAGGAUAUGUUGAGCUGUAAACAUCUGUGAAAUUCGUUUAAAACUGAAGCACAAAUGAAACACUGUUUAUGUAUGGACAGUAAAGUUAGUGGGUCCAUUAACCUUUUUCUAAGGUUCGAUUUAGACCUCUACGUAUGCGACUUUCAUCAUUGUACUCUGUCCGAGGUUACUGUUGCCUUAGCGGUUCAAAACAUGUUUCAAAGACUUAGGACACUUUUAGAGUGGUACACAACAAUGUGCAAGCCAGUUGCAUGCUUGAUUUAUGUAGCAAAAGAUUUCUUGUCGUAUUAACGUACGCCUUUGGCAUGCAACAAAGUUGUAGCGUAUCAAUCGACACUAAUAAUAGCGAAUGAUCCCGUGUUGCCAUCUCCUAAGAUGAAAACAUAUUUUUAUUUUACAAAGAAACGUUAGAAAAUCAAUUUCGUAAAAUGCAAAGCUAUGCAUGGGGUUAGAAAAAAUGGCUAAGUAAAUUCAUAGUUAAUUGUGAACUAUUUCUUUCCGACAAGCUAAGGAGAGUCACCGAACAAUGUAAGUUCGCACUGUUGAGUGACUAUUCUGCAGUGAAAUAUCAGUGCCGUGGGUAGAAGAUGUGCUAUUCAUAUUGUGUUGUCUGUAUCCGAGUUGUUUAGAUAUUAAACAUAUAGGGCUUUUCAACACUUGACACACUAAAAAGUGGUCAUAAUAUUAAAAUAUCCUCGGCAAGAACUAAACAAAUUUUGCCAAUAAGAAAUGGUUAGUGCUGUCUUGGGAGAUUUUUAGAUCACAGUCUUUUUAAUUGUUAUCAUAUUG